CGGAUGAACGCUAGCGGCAGGCUUAACACAUGCAAGUCGAGGGGUAUAUCAUUUCGGUGAUAGAGACCGGCGCACGGGUGCGUAACGCGUAUGCAAUCUACCUUUUACAGGGGAAUAGCCCAGAGAAAUUUGGAUUAAUGCCCCAUGGUAUUAUGAAAUGGCAUCAUUUUAUAAUUAAAGUUCCAACGGUAAAAGAUGAGCAUGCGUCCCAUUAGUUAGUUGGUAAGGUAACGGCUUACCAAGACGAUGAUGGGUAGGGGUCCUGAGAGGGAGAUCCCCCACACUGGUACUGAGACACGGACCAGACUCCUACGGGAGGCAGCAGUGAGGAAUAUUGGACAAUGGGCGCAAGCCUGAUCCAGCCAUGCCGCGUGCAGGAAGAAGCAUCUAUGGUGUGUAAACUGCUUUUAUACAGGAAGAAACACUCCCUCGUGAGGGAGCUUGACGGUACUGUAAGAAUAAGGACCGGCUAACUCCGUG
rnacentral:rRNA from 1 species